CGAGCCCCCCGCUGGCCUCCGUCUUUCUCUCCCACUCCUGAUCUUUUCCUCUUGUCUUGCUCUGUUCGUCUCCCGGACCUCCCCGCCACUGUUGCACCGCCUCCUCUCCCUCGCCUCCUCCACCACCACGGUGUCCUCUGCGCCGUCAUUCCCGCACCAUCAUCCUCCUCCGUGGCCAGGGCACCGGCGGCCGAGGCGAGGUGGUCCGCGAGGCCAUGGCGAGGCGGCGGGCGAACAUCAACAUGGCGGCGGGAUUCUUGAGGUGGAUGAUUCAUUGGCCAGGAGAGCCGUCUCUGCUCGCCCAUUCCCCGCGCCCCCUCCUCGACAUGGCGGCGCUGGAUCGAGGGUCUGCAGCGAUGCCAUGACCUGAGCGCGCUGAUGCGCCCGUGAGUUCCCCGUCCUGGUAAUCUCGUAGCUCGGAUUGAAUCCUACCGAGGUCACCGCCGUCCAGCAUAUCUCCUCUAUCCAUAUAAUAUUUUGCAAGGAGCUCAACUAUAGGAGCGAAGCAGCAAACCAUGGAGGAUUUCUGGCUACUUGGGCAUUGAGCAGCAAGCCAUGUUUAACUGACAUCGAGUUUGGGAAAGAUCUGCAUCCAGGUGAAGGUGCUAAUCCACCAAUUAAAUGACCAUUCCAACCGAGGUUUGGGUAGCAUACAGGUGAUAGCUGCAGCAAAUCGUAUGGACAUUCUUCAUCUUGUUUUAGUUGUGUUUGAGUCAGCUGAAAAAGAGUGAGUUUAUUUUUCACAUCAUACGAAAGUUUAAUCUGGUUUUACAUUUGUUCUCUAAUGAUGUUAUGUUUUUUAAUUUUAUAGGAAAUCCUCCAGUGGAAAAUACAGCUUAGUAUUGUGUUGUCUAACUAGCUGUACACUUUCCCAGAUUAAAUGAGUGUUGUGCUAUUGGCCACGUUACAUAGUUGAUUGUUCAUAAUUUUUACGCAUGUUACCAUGCUUUGAUAUUCAGUUUGCAUGCUUCUCCAGGUGAUAUCAAUUACACGAAUGAAUAUGCAUAUGUGUGGAGAGCUCAUGUACUGGUGUUACAAGUUCCCUGACAUUGAUUAAAUUGGCCUAAAAGGAAGAUCGCUCCAAGACUGUGUGCGUGCGCCUAUGAUCAUUGGAUCAGAGGCUGAAGAUCUGUGGAAGCAGGUUAGUUCACAUGGCUCACAUAUUUACCUCUUUGCUCAUGAGAUAUGCAUGCUAUGUUUUCCUUUCAUUAAGAGUAUGAGUCUGCAAUAAAGGAAUUGAGCGCAAUUGUUCCUGCUCACAAGAAACAAACCAUCAUACAAAUAGCUCUAAGGGUCAUAUAUGAAUUUUGAUAUGGAUUAGCAAAGGAUACCAUGAGAUCUGUGAGGCCAGAUUUGUCCCCUAAUGAGCUUUAAAGCUGCUAUCUAUGUAGCAGAAGUUGAUGCAUUCAACCAAAUUAUUCUGUACUUGUUUUUCGUGCCAACUGCCAUUUCUUUUCUUACUUCUAAGAAAAUUGGAAUCGGCAGUGUGUUAUUUUUGUAUAAUGCAGUCUAUGCAGUGCUUUGCAAUUGGUCCGGUCGAUGGCACGACUCAGCUGUUCUAUUUCCUGGCACUAUUUUAUUUAUAUGUUGUUGCCUGGUGAUAGCUAAGAAUAUGACGCGGCUGUAGUUUAGGUAUUUGUUCUGAAAUUGGUUGUUUUUUUCAUUGAACUGCUUUGUGAACUUGCUACAAAUUCUAUUCUUUGAAUAUUUGUUUGUACUCUUCAGCUUUUGGCACAUUUUUAUUCUCUAGAAGGUAUGAUUUCUAGCUAUUAGUCAUGCAAGAAUAAUGUGGAAAAAUAACUGUCAUAGUAAACAACGCAGCUAGCUUCUCCAUGCCUUAUAGUGGGAUAUUUGACAGUUCCUCGAGCAAACAAUACCAUUGCACAACACACACGUCACAAUUUGUUUUGAACCAUGAGGAGAGGGACUCCAUGAGGUUCGUCCUUUUGUUGUAUUGGAUUGUUCCAGAUGAUAAUCGUCUGUAGUUUGGAGUUACCGAUUUUCAUUUAUGCUCUUUCUACCACCUUGCUCUUGGAAUCCGAGGUUUUCCUUUUAAUCGUAGGUCGAUGGCUCUAACCAGUCUCCACCAGUCUCUUGGGCGCGCGUAUGGACGGAUGAAGAAAGCCUAAGAAUAGCAGUUGCGGGGAUUGUUCAUCUGCUGAUCUAACACUGCCACCUGGUAGAUACCCUUCGUGGGGCUAGAUAUUAGUACACAUUUGAGAGUUGCUGCAACGAAUACAAAUAAUAUAUCUCUGUAAUAGCUGAGAUUUCAGAUUAACAUGUCAAGCCAUAGUCCAUAGAUAUUCCCUCCUUGCAUAUUUUCUGUAACAUACUUUCUUUUAUGUACCUGAUCUGAUCUAUUGUAUGAAAACAAAGGUUUAGUAAAUAUCUUCUGUAAUUGUAA